rnacentral:rRNA from 1 species
AUCGAGGUCGCAAUCUUUUUUAUCAAUAUGAACUCUCCAAAAAAAUUACGCUGUUAUCCCUAAAGUAACUUAAAUUUUUAAUCAUUAAAAAUGGAUCAAUUAUUCAUAAAUUAAUGAAAUUAAAUCUUAAAAGUUAUUCAAAUUUUAAUAUCACCCCAAUAAAAUAUAUUUAUUAUAUUAUAAUUAAAUUUAUCUAUAAAAUUAAAAUAUUAAAUAUAUAAAGAUUUAUAGGGUCUUCUCGUCUUUUAAAUAAAUUUUAGCUUUUUGACUAAAAAAUAAAAUUCUAUUAUAAAUUUAAAUGAAACAGUUAAUAUUUCGUCCAACCAUUCAUUCCAGCC